UAGGGAAUCUUCGGCAAUGGACGGAAGUCUGACCGAGCAACGCCGCGUGAGUGAAGAAGGUUUUCGGAUCGUAAAGCUCUGUUGUAAGAGAAGAACGAGUGUGAGAGUGGAAAGUUCACACUGUGACGGUAUCUUACCAGAAAGGGACGGCUAACUACGUGCCAGCAGCCGCGGUAAUACGUAGGUCCCGAGCGUUGUCCGGAUUUAUUGGGCGUAAAGCGAGCGCAGGCGGUUAGAUAAGUCUGAAGUUAAAGGCUGUGGCUUAACCAUAGUACGCUUUGGAAACUGUUUAACUUGAGUGCAAGAGGGGAGAGUGGAAUUCCAUGUGUAGCGGUGAAAUGCGUAGAUAUAUGGAGGAACACCGGUGGCGAAAGCGGCUCUCUGGCUUGUAACUGACGCUGAGGCUCGAAAGCGUGGGGAGCAAACAGGAUUAGAUACCCCCGUAGUCC
rnacentral:rRNA from 1 species